UGAUCAGAUGGAUGAGUAAGAGAAGAGAGGAGAAAGCAGGCUAAGCACCAUCAGCUGUGUAAAUGCACCCACCUGAAGGGACUCCCAUCAUGUGGAGACAGCAUCUCUAAGCAUCUUGUGCUUCUGCUGGGGCGUCUCAGGCACAGGCAGGAAGGAGAAGGAUGAAGCAGGAUGCCUGGACCAGUGAGAAGACUCCAACACCAGUGGAAACCGAAGGGAGUCUAGGAACCCUCCCUUGGACUCCUCUACUUGGGAUGCCUCAUCCUUUGCCCAUGAUAUUAGAGCAGCAUUCACUUCAAAUUCAGAAGGCAGAAUGGGAGCUAAAAAGAUGUGUAUUAUAUUUGAUAAGAUCAACAUUUAAAAUGGACUGACCAUAUAUAUCCUAAGGUAAAUAAUUGUUUCUAUUCUCCAAAUAGAUAUCUACAUUGCUUUUCGUACUCCUGGAUUUGGUGAUGUGACUAGUCAAUACAAAACUAAUUAUGUCUGUAAAUAGAUUGUACUAAGAUUUUAUUAUUUAUCUCAAGUGAUAAAAGUGGACUAAUUAUGAAUGCAACUCAAAUUAAAAUUUAACAUGUAUUAGCAUAUUUAGCUAAUGAAAUCUAUUUC